rnacentral:lncRNA from 1 species
AUCCCAUAUUUCUUUAGCAGAUGAGCAAGUAGAAAUGCGAUUAAAUUCAUUAGCAUCAAGAGCACAAUAAAGAACAUUCAUUGCUUUAGCAUUUAAUUGGGUCAUUUUCUUAUCAACCUCAUCCCAUUCUUUCUCGGGUUUGGUUGAUUCUACACCAUCUAUAAAUAUAGUGGGUGAGUGAGGACCGUUCACUAUGAUACUCCACAUAUCAUAGUCGAGUGCUUGAAUGAAUAUUUUCAUCCGAGCUUUCCAAUAGGUGUAAUUAGACCCAUUGAAAAGUGGAGAUCGGUUGGUAGAUUGCCCCUCGGCUAGAGAAGUGCCGACUUGAGUUGCCAU